UACGAAGGGGGCUAGCGUUGCUCGGAAUCACUGGGCGUAAAGGGCGCGUAGGCGGCGUUUUAAGUCAGGGGUGAAAUCCUGGAGCUCAACUCCAGAACUGCCUUUGAUACUGGCGAUCUCGAGUCCGGGAGAGGUGAGUGGAACUGCGAGUGUAGAGGUGAAAUUCGUAGAUAUUCGCAAGAACACCAGUGGCGAAGGCGGCUCACUGGCCCGGUACUGACGCUGAGGUGCGAAAGCGUGGGGAGCAAACAGG
rnacentral:rRNA from 1 species